AGUACCGUGAGGGAAAGGUGAAAAGCACCCCGGAAGGGGAGUGAAAUAGAUCCUGAAACCGUGUGCCUACAACAAGUCAAAGCUCGUUAAUGAGUGAUGGCGUGCCUUUUGUAGAAUGAACCGGCGAGUUACGAUUGCAUGCGAGGUUAAGUCGAAGAGACGGAGCCGCAGCGAAAGCGAGUCUGAAUAGGGCGAAUGAGUAUGUAGUCGUAGACCCGAAACCAUGUGAUCUACCCAUGUCCAGGUUGAAGGUGCGGUAAAACGCACUGGAGGACCGAACCCACGUACGUUGAAAAGUGCGGGGAUGAGGUGUGGGUAGCGGAGAAAUUCCAAACGAACUUGGAGAUAGCUGGUUCUCUCCGAAAUAGCUUUAGGGCUAGCCUCGGAAUUGAGAAUGAUGGAGGUAGAGCACUGUUUGGACUAGGGGCCCAUCUCGGGUUACCGAAUUCAGAUAAACUCCGAAUGCCAUUCAUUUAUAUCCGGGAGUCAGACUGCGAGUGAUAAGAUCCGUAGUCGAAAGGGAAACAGCCCAGACCACCAGCUAAGGUCCCAAAAUAUAUGUUAAGUGGAAAAGGAUGUGGGGUUGCACAGACAACUAGGAUGUUGGCUUAGAAGCAGCCACCAUUUAAAGAGUGCGUAAUAGCUCACUAGUCGAGUGACCCUGCGC
rnacentral:rRNA from 1 species